UACGUAGGUGGCAAGCGUUGUCCGGAAUUAUUGGGCGUAAAGCGCGCGCAGGCGGUUAUGUAAGUCUGAUGUUAAAGCCCCGGGCUCAACCUCGGUUCGCAUUGGAAACUGCGUAACUUGAGUGCAGAAGAGGAAAGUGGUAUUCCACGUGUAGCGGUGAAAUGCGGAGAUAUGUGGAGGAACACCAGUGGCGAAGGCGACUUUCUGGUCUGUAACUGACGCUGAGGCGCGAAAGCGUGGGGAGCAAACAGG
rnacentral:rRNA from 1 species